UACGUAGGGGGCUAGCGUUGUCCGGAAUCAUUGGGCGUAAAGAGCGCGUAGGCGGCCAGAUAAGUCCGGUGUGAAAGUCACAGGCUCAACCUGUGAAUGCCGCUGGAAACUGUCUGGCUAGAGUCCGGAAGGGGCGAGUGGAAUUCCUGGUGUAGCGGUGAAAUGCGCAGAUAUCGGGAGGAACACCAAUUGCGAAGGCAGCUCGCUGGGACGUCACUGACGCUGAGACGCGAAAGCGUGGGGAGCAAACGGG
rnacentral:rRNA from 1 species